AGCGGCGGACGGGUGAGUAAUGCCUAGGAAUCUGCCUGGUAGUGGGGGAUAACGUUCCGAAAGGAACGCUAAUACCGCGUACGUCCUACGGGAGAAAGCAGGGGACCUUCGGGCCUUGCGCUAUCAGAUGAGCCUAGGUCGGAUUAGCUAGUUGGUGAGGUAAUGGCUCACCAAGGCGACGAUCCGUAACUGGUCUGAGAGGAUGAUCAGUCACACUGGAACUGAGACACGGUCCAGACUCCUACGGGAGGCAGCAGUGGGGAAUAUUGGACAAUGGGCGAAAGCCUGAUCCAGCCAUGCCGCGUGUGUGAAGAAGGUCUUCGGAUUGUAAAGCACUUUAAGUUGGGAGGAAGGGCAGUAACCUAAUACUCUGCUGUUUUGACGUUACCAACAGAAUAAGCACCGGCUAACUUCGUGCCAGCAGCCGCGGUAAUACGAAGGGUGCAAGCGUUAAUCGGAAUUACUGGGCGUAAAGCGCGCGUAGGUGGUUCGUUAAGUUGGAUGUGAAAGCCCCGGGCUCAACCUGGGAACUGCAUCCAAAACUGGCGAGCUAGAGUACGGUAGAGGGUAGUGGAAUUUCCUGUGUAGCGGUGAAAUGCGUAGAUAUAGGAAGGAACACCAGUGGCGAAGGCGACUACCUGGACUGAUACUGACACUGAGGUGCGAAAGCGUGGGGAGCAAACAGGAUUAGAUACCCUGGUAGUCCACGCCGUAAACGAUGUCAACUAGCCGUUGGAAUCCUUGAGAUUUUAGUGGCGCAGCUAACGCAUUAAGUUGACCGCCUGGGGAGUACGGCCGCAAGGUUAAAACUCAAUGAAUUGACGGGGGCCCGCACAAGCGGUGGAGCAUGUGGUUUAAUUCGUAGCAACGCGAAGAACCUUACCUGGCCUUGACAUGCUGAGAACUUUCCAGAGAUGGAUUGGUGCUUCGGGACUCAGACACAGGUGCUGCAUGCUGUCGUCAGCUC
rnacentral:rRNA from 1 species